CGGACGGGUGAGUAACACGUGGAUAACCUACCUAUAAGACUGGGAUAACUUCGGGAAACCGGAGCUAAUACCGGAUAAUAUAUUGAACCGCAUGGUUCAAUAGUGAAAGACGGUUUUGCUGUCACUUAUAGAUGGAUCCGCGCCGCAUUAGCUAGUUGGUAAGGUAACGGCUUACCAAGGCAACGAUGCGUAGCCGACCUGAGAGGGUGAUCGGCCACACUGUAACUGAGACACGGUCCAG
rnacentral:rRNA from 1 species